rnacentral:rRNA from 1 species
GACGAACGCUGGCGGCGUGCUUAACACAUGCAAGUCGAACGAUGAAGCCGGAGCUUGCUCUGGUGAAUUAGUGGCGAACGGGUGAGUAACACGUGAGUAACCUGCCCUUGACUCUGGGAUAACUGCGGGAAACUGUAGCUAAUACCGGAUACGACCCUCGGAGGCAUCUCCUGGGGGUGGAAAGAAUUUCGGUCAAGGAUGGACUCGCGGCCUAUCAGCUAGUUGGAGAGGUAACGGCUCACCAAGGCGACGACGGGUAGCCGGCCUGAGAGGGUGACCGGCCACACUGGGACUGAGACACGGCCCAGACGCCUACGGGAGGCAGCAGUGGGGAAUAUUGCACAAUGGGCGAAAGCCUGACGCAGCAACGCCGCGUGCGGGAUGACGGCCUUCGGGUUGUAAACCGCUUUCAGCAGGGAAGAAGCCGCAAGGUGACGGUACCUGCAGAAGAAGCACCGGCUAACUACGUGCCAGCCGCCGCCGUAA